GUGUGCUGAUGAAUUUGUUUCCCUGUGAUUCCCUUACGUUGAAGACCCUGAAGCAC
rnacentral:snoRNA from 1 species